GUCUUAACUGGGCGUUAAGUUGCAGGGUAUAGACCCGAAACCCGGUGAUCUAGCCAUGGGCAGGUUGAAGGUUGGGUAACACUAACUGGAGGACCGAACCGACUAAUGUUGAAAAAUUAGCGGAUGACUUGUGGCUGGGGGUGAAAGGCCAAUCAAACCGGGAGAUAGCUGGUUCUCCCCGAAAGCUAUUUAGGUAGCGCCUCGUGAAUUCAUCUCCGGGGGUAGAGCACUGUUUCGGCAAGGGGGUCAUCCCGACUUACCAACCCGAUGCAAACUGCGAAUACCGGAGAAUGUUAUCACGGGAGACACACGGCGGGUGCUAACGUCCGUCGUGAAGAGGGAAACAACCCAGACCGCCAGCUAAGGUCCCAAAGUCAUGGUUAAGUGGGAAACGAUGUGGGAAGGCCCAGACAGCCAGGAUGUUGGCUUAGAAGCAGCCAUCAUUUAAAGAAAGCGUAAUAGCUCACUGGUCGAGUCGGCCUGCGCGGAAGAUGUAACGGGGCUAAACCAUG
rnacentral:rRNA from 1 species